rnacentral:rRNA from 1 species
UGGGGAAUAUUGGACAAUGGGCGAAAGCCUGAUCCAGCAAUGCCGCGUGAGUGAUGAAGGCCUUAGGGUUGUAAAGCUCUUUUACCCGGGAUGAUAAUGACAGUACCGGGAGAAUAAGCUCCGGCUAACUCCGUGCCAGCAGCCGCGGUAAUACGGAGGGAGCUAGCGUUGUUCGGAAUUACUGGGCGUAAAGCGCGCGUAGGCGGUUUUCCAAGUCAGGGGUGAAAGCCCGGGGCUCAACCCCGGAAUAGCCCUUGAAACUGGAAGACUAGAAUCUUGGAGAGGUCAGUGGAAUUCCGAGUGUAGAGGUGAAAUUCGUAGAUAUUCGGAAGAACACCAGUGGCGAAGGCGACUGACUGGACAAGUAUUGACGCUGAGGUGCGAAAGCGUGGGGAGCAAACA